UGAGAGUCUAUUUAAUUUAGCUAUGGCCAGAGUGACUUUACCAUUAGGACCUGUGUUUUCUGGGAUAUAAGUGCAACAAGUCAUGGUGUCAGGUAGUAUUUUACAUACACCCCCCCCUUUUCAGCUAGAAUCAUGUCUAUGGCCAUUCUGUUCUGGAAGGUCAUCUGGGAUGUGGCCUGCAACUGCUCGGCCAGGCCCUGGAGGGCAUCCCUGGUGUAGUUGACAAAACGCUGUUGGUUGUAAUAAAUGUAGUUAAUCCAAUUAAGGUUUUUGUUGGCAGUGACUAUAGUGAACAGUGAUUCAAAACCUGCAGCUACU